rnacentral:misc_RNA from 1 species
AGUCACUUUGGCUGCUUAGCUCAAUAGAUUACAUAGCUAACAACUUAAAAACAUACACAAAAAUUUUGAACAAAAAAUAUAUUUAAGUUCAGAAGCUACAAAAAAUAUCGUGAACUAUAUAUACAACUUGAACACAAACAAAUGCGUUUUCCAAAUGCAUUUUGUUGAGCAUUACUUUUAGAGUGAAAAACUUCAAUUUCUUAAAUCCAACUUUACAAUUUGCAAUCAUCAACUAUCAGGCCUUCCAUCUGUAUUCUUCUAUUGCUACAUCUCCAAUUCCAUAUUACCAUUAGCUGCGUCUUCUUUAGUGAAUAACAACGAAAACAACACAACAAGAUGACGAUUAAAGACGGUACUUUUCCAACAAUCUUCUAAAGAUACUAAUCAAAACAAUAUUUUCAAUAUUCAACAAGAGGAUCAGUUAUAAUGAAUCAUUCACCAGCUUAACAUCCAAAUAUGGAAUGCAAAUCAGAUGACAAUAAAUAAACAUCAUUUCCUCUUGGUUCCUCAUGUGUUGACCAAAUAUAUCCACAGAUCACUGAUCAGUCUAAGUUCCCACUCCUACACUAUAUAUUACAAGUCAUAAAACAGUUAUGGGCAUCAGUUCUCCAAGGUUGAUAGCAUCAAUGAAAGAUUCAGACGCAAAUUACCCAUUUACGAUAUAUAAGAUUUCAUCAUUAGCCCAUAAAACUAACAAUCAAAACUUGAAUAAACACAAAAGGAAGAGGAUUAAUCAUUUAACGAUCAGAACCUGUCGGGAUUCACACUUUACAUCAUGAAAUGUAUUUCAGUGGAUUGACAGACUUAUGAAUUCUAUCAUCACGUCGUAUUCGAAUGGAACGUAAAAAAAUUUAACAGGGCUCAGAACUUCUUAGAGGGUAGUGUAAGCCAUCACAGACCAAAGUCUCCGACACAAGAUAUUUUUCAUCAUAGCACCAAAAAAUAACCAUUAAAACAAAUAAAGCUUCGCAAUAGGACUCAGUUUAUGGGUGGUGAUAUAUCAGAAUGGUCGGCAAGGUGGUUUUAAACACCAUUACGACGAACGAGACCAAUAGAUAUAAGUCGUCACAGUCCAUUAACCAUUUCAAUUUUUCAAAAAAACAAAUCAUAUGCAUUUAACACAAAAGAAAACAAAGAGUCAUCAGAUAGGAGCGAAAGACUAUAAAGAUUGUUUUAUAAUCACAAAAAAAU